AGUGAACGCUGGCGGCAGGCCUAACACAUGCAAGUCGAACGGCAGCACAGAGGAGCUUGCUCCUUGGGUGGCGAGUGGCGGACGGGUGAGGAAUACGUCGGAAUCUGCCUAUUUGUGGGGGAUAACGUAGGGAAACUUACGCUAAUACCGCAUACGACCUUAGGGUGAAAGCGGAGGACCUUCGGGCUUCGCGCAGAUAGAUGAGCCGACGUCGGAGUUAGCUAGNGGCGGGGGUAAAGGGCCCACCAAGGCGACGAUCCGUAGCUGGUCUGAGAGGAUGAUCAGCCACACU
rnacentral:rRNA from 1 species